rnacentral:rRNA from 1 species
AGAGUUUGAUCCUGGCUCAGGAUAAACGCUGGCGGCGUGCUUAACACAUGCAAGUCGAACGAAGUUUUUCCUUCGGGAGAAACUUAGUGGCGGACGGGUGAGUAACGCGUGGGUAACCUGCCCUGUACAGGGGGACAACAGCUGGAAACGGCUGCUAAUACCGCAUAAGCCCUUAGCACUGCGUGGUGCAUAGGGAAAAGGAGCAAUCCGGUACAGGAUGGACCCGCGUCUGAUUAGCCAGUUGGCAGGGUAACGGCCUACCAAAGCGACGAUCAGUAGCCGAUCUGAGGGGAUGUACGGCCACAUUGGGACUGAGACACGGCCCAGACUCCUACGGGAGGCAGCAGUGGGGAAUAUUGCACAAUGGAGGAAACUCUGAUGCAGCGACGCCGCGUGAGUGAAGAAGUAUUUCGGUAUGUAAAGCUCUAUCAGCAGGGAAGAAAAUGACGGUACCUGACUAAGAAGCACCGGCUAAAUACGUGCCAGCAGCCGCGGUAAUACGUAUGGUGCAAGCGUUAUCCGGAUUUACUGGGUGUAAAGGGAGCGUAGGUGGCAAGGCAAGCCAGAAGUGAAAACCCGGGGCUCAACCGCGGGAUUGCUUUUGGAACUGUCAUGCUAGAGUGCAGGAGGGGUGAGCGGAAUUCCUAGUGUAGCGGUGAAAUGCGUAGAUAUUAGGAGGAACACCGGAGGCGAAGGCGGCUCACUGGACUGUAACUGACACUGAGGCUCGAAAGCGUGGGGAGCAAACAGGAUUAGAUACCCUGGUAGUCCACACUGUAAAUGAUGAUUACUAGGUGUUGGAGGAUUGACCCCUUCAGUGCCGCAGUUAACACAAUAAGUAAUCCACCUGGGGAGUACGACCGCAAGGUUGAAACUCAAAGGAAUUGACGGGGGCCCGCACAAGCAGUGGAGUAUGUGGUUUAAUUCGACGCAACGCGAAGAACCUUACCAAGUCUUGACAUCCUGCGACGCACAUAGAAAUAUGUGUUUCCUUCGGGACGCAGAGACAGGUGGUGCAUGGUUGUCGUCAGCUCGUGUCGUGAGAUGUUGGGUUAAGUCCCGCAGCGAGCGCAACCCUUAUGGUCAGUUACUACGCAAGAGGACUCUGACCAGACUGCCGUUGACAAAACGGAGGAAGGUGGGGAUGACGUCAAAUCAUCAUGCCCUUUAUGACUUGGGCUACACACGUACUACAAUGGCGUUAAACAAAGAGAAGCAAGACCGCGAGGUGGAGCAAAACUCAGAAACAACGUCCCAGUUCGGACUGCAGGCUGCAACUCGCCUGCACGAAGUCGGAAUUGCUAGUAAUCGCAGAUCAGCAUGCUGCGGUGAAUACGUUCCCGGGCCUUGUACACACCGCCCGUCACACCAUGAGAGCCGGGGGGACCCGAAGUCGGCAGUCUAACCGCAAGGAGGACGCCGCCGAAGGUAAAACUGGUGAUUGGGGUGAAGUCGUAACAAGGUA